CGCAGAGGGCAGCUGGGGCGCCAUUUUGUGAGGCGUUCGGGGCGCGAAUGAGGCGAGCGUAGCUGUGAAAAGAGAGGGCGAAGCAGUAUACGGUUACAUAAAUUAGACAUUUAGAUAAGCAAAGCGGCGGCGUGCUGGAUCUGGGGCCUCCCGGGCAGCAAGGAGAAAACCCCCAACCCUUCCUUCACUGGAGCUCAGCUUGUUUUUAUUUUUAUUUUUUAAACCCCACACCCACCCCACUACACGCACACCCUCUCCCAUUGUCUCAGUACAAGUUGUUUUAAUAAAACGGUGCCUUUGUGGCCCAGUGUUGCCUUGCAGUCAAGCAAAAAAAAAAAAAAAAGAAAAGCUGGAUUGAAAAAUGUAAUUUUGGGAGAAAAAAUCACCUUUUUUUUUUCCUUGCAGCA